rnacentral:lncRNA from 1 species
GCUUUGUUUGCAAAAGAAAGGGAAAGAAAAUUUGGUAAAUAAAGAAAGCAAAUCAAAUUACAUUGAAAUCUUGUCAUCUUUUAUAAUGUGAUAUCAAAUUGGAUAUGAAAUACAAAAUUCGAUAAGAAGUAGUUUGGUUGUAUUAAGAGUAAGCAAAGAAUGAAAUCAAGAAAUUCAUCUGGCAUAUAGUAAGGGGGAG